CCCACCCCGGCUCCUCUCCCCGCCGCCUCCACCACCCACCAUUUCGCAGUGGUUGGCCUCCCGACCCCUCCCUAUCUUCUCCCGCCAAUCCCACCAUUCCCCUCGCCGCCGCCGCCGCCGUCGUCGGCUGCCCAAGCGUCAUGAUGUUGUCAACGGUGUGGCUGAGGCAGAAGGUGUAACCAAAUAUGAUGCAGGUGAAGCUUCUCAAGAUCAGAAAGAGCAAAAAGGUUCAACAACCAUGAAAUCCUAGCUGAGGAUGUGCGAGACUGGGAUAUAGCCAGUGACCGGGGACAAGGGCAGCGUGCGCAGGGUGAUCGACGAGGACUACUGCAGCCCGAUGGGAGUCGUGCUCUUCAACUACUCGGAGGCAGACUUCACCGUGAAGCCCCGCGACCGCGUCAUACAGAUUAUCGUCCAGGUGAUUGCGACGCAGGAGGUCCCCGGGGUGGAGGACCUCGACGCCACCGUCCGGAGGUCACCGAGGUGGAGGACGACGCCACCGUCCGGAGUUCCUCAAGGUGGAGGACCUCGACGCUUUGUACAUACAUCUAGAGAAGUGGUCUGGUUAGGUUGGUGGUGAAACGCUAGGGAAGGUACCAACCUUUUGAUGAUGGUUGUGUGUGUCCUCGUGAUCUCUUCGAGUUGAGAUGUUGAAUGUUGCAUCCAUGAACACUGCAAGUGUUAAGAUGGUUCUGUGAAAUUUAUUUUGCAUC